GGGGUCGGGAGUUGACGCGUGAGCGAGUUGGGUCGUGGUUCUUGAUCCGGCCCACUAACCCCCCCUAACCCUAGCCGCCCCUUCCCCUAAUUCCCUUCCCCUUGUGCAGCCGCCCCCCCUCUCUAGCCUUUGGCCUCCAUCCCCUCCCCCUAAUUCCCUCUCUCUUGUGCAGCAGCCCCCAUUCCCUCAACCCUAGCCGCCACCCCCCUCCCAUCUCCUCCUCUCCAAGUGAUGUCCUUCCUCGCCGGAUCUUCUUCGUGUGGGUGCAAGUUCCGAUUGGAGAAUUGGUGGGAGGAAGGAAGGAGGAAAGGAGGAACCCAAGGUGGUGGACUUCCGGAUCGUACUUAGGGAUUUGCCCAAACUUCCGGUACUUGAUAUAUGUUGGGAAUGAGGGGAGUAGCAGCACGUCCACUUUCACUCUCAUAUUAAGGCUGCCCAAGCGCAUCCAUGAUUUAAUUAGAAACUUGAUGUCAAAGGAUGUUUGUUUUUUUUACUAGUCAUGCGCAUUGGUUAAUUCAGUUCAUGUCGUAUGUUUAACUUUCCUUUGCUAGCCGUUUAAUAAUACUUAGUAUGUUUUUUGUCAUGAUACAUGUUUAUACACUGUUGCCCCCUCCUUUAUGCUAUUUUGCAAAGGAGAUGUUGUCGAAAUUUUAUAUACGGAUGUCAGAAGUGUAGUUCAGUAGCA